CCUACGGGAGGCAGCAGUGAGGAAUAUUGGUCAAUGGGCGGAAGCCUGAACCAGCCAAGUAGCGUGCAGGAUGACGGCCCUACGGGUUGUAAACUGCUUUUAUACGGGAAUAACGCGCCUUACGUGUAGGGCUUUGCAUGUACCGUAUGAAUAAGGACCGGCUAAUUCCGUGCCAGCAGCCGCGGUAAUACGGAAGGUCCGGGCGUUAUCCGGAUUUAUGGGGUUUAAAGGGGGCGUAGGCCGCAUGUCAAGCUUGCUGUGAAAUGUCCGGGCUCAACCCGGGCCUUGCAGCGGGAACGGGCGUGCUUGCGUCCGCGGAAGGCAAGCGGAAUUCGUCGUGUAGCGGUGAAAUGCUUAGAUAUGACGAAGAACACCGAUUGCGAAGGCAGCUUGCUGCAGCGGAACUGACGCUGAUGCUCGAAAGCGAGGGUAUCGAACAGGAUUAGAUACCCUGGUAGUC
rnacentral:rRNA from 1 species